rnacentral:rRNA from 1 species
GACGUAGGGCGCAAGCGUUGUCCGGAUUUAUUGGGUUUAAAGGGUGCGUAGGCGGCCUGUUAAGUCAGGGGUGAAAGACGGUAGCUCAACUAUCGCAGUGCCCUUGAUACUGAUGGGCUUGAAUGGACUAGAGGUAGGCGGAAUGAGACAAGUAGCGGUGAAAUGCAUAGAUAUGUCUCAGAACACCGAUUGCGAAGGCAGCUUACUAUGGUCUUAUUGACGCUGAGGCACGAAAGCGUGGGGAUCAAACAGG